rnacentral:rRNA from 1 species
CGGGGACGAACAGCGAAGAUGCUAAUACCGCAUACGUCAGCGAGGUCUUCGGAUCUUGUUGGGAAAGAUGGCCUCUUCAUGAAAGCUAUCACCGGAGGAUGAGUCCGCGGCCCAUCAGCUAGUUGGCGGGGUAAUGGCCCACCAAGGCUUAGACGGGUAGCUGGUCUGAGAGGAUGAUCAGCCACACUGGAACUGAGACACGGUCCAG